AAGAGGUCCGUGGACCAAAAAAAAUGAUAUUUGAAGCGGGAGCUGGAGGGUCUCAAGACCAAAUGAAAGGCGGCGCAGCAGGAACUAGAGGUCCUCAAGGCCACAAAGGCCUUUGAGGCAGAUGACAAGGAGGAGGGUAGAAAAGAGAUGGCUGACGUUCCAGACACGCCUGGAGAGGAGGAGGAGGGGCCGGGAGGGGACAUAAGAGAUGAGGCAUUUUUAACCCUGCCUUUUUAAUUUUUUCUUUUUUUUUAAAGUUCAAAUAAAGUGUUUCUCAUAAAAA